AACCUGCGGAAGGAUCAUUACCGAGCGAGGAUUCUCUGAAUCCAACCUCCCACCCGUGUUUAUUGUACCUUGUUGCUUCGGCGGGCCCGCCUCACGGCCGCCGGGGGGC
rnacentral:rRNA from 1 species